CCUGCACCACCCUGCAGCCGCCGCCGCCGCCGCCGCAGCAGCAGCAGCAGCAGCAGCAGUAGCAGCAGCAGCAGCAGCAGCAUCCAGGGAGACAGCGCUACGGGUCCAAAUCUAGCAGCGCCCAGCGGGGGCGGGGGAUGGACAGAGUCCCUGGGAGGCGCCGAGGGCUCUGGGUGGAGACCCGAGCUGCAGGUGGACGUCUGUGAGUCUCUGCAGAGCCAGGAGCCUUUCUCCCCUCUCCUCUAGAGCCUGCACCCAGCGUCCCUGCACCCCUCCUCUGAGAGGUGUCGCUUCCGUAAAUUCACCCACACGCCGGGGGAUUGUAUUGUUUUAAGGCAGGGCCCCGGGCUUACACACGCUCGCCCACCUCCCAGCCUCACAGGCUUGUGGCUGUUUAUUCCUGUGUCUUAGGAAAGUUUCAAACCUUUUAGAAAAUGGCUUGCCUGACUCGGCGAAGCUUCGGGCCCCUCUGAGGAAGAAACAGAUUUUGAUGCCCAACGUUAGGAGAGCUGUGGGCUAAACUGUUUUGGGGGAUGCUGUUUCCCUCUAGCUGGUUUUCCUGGGGUGUGUGUGUGGGGGGGGGGGUCUUGAAUUCGGUUUGAGGAGCAGGAAGACUAUUGCAGUAACUGCACGACACCGUUUCCCCCUUUUCACUGAGUUCUUCAGAGCAGGAUAUUCAAAAGGACUCCAGUCAAGAGUGGUGAAGACCAGAGGAUUCCAGAGACUGCCAAUGUGCCCAGCUCUCUCCUUGUGACUUCUUGUAUCCUCUAAAAGUGGAGCACGGCCGGGCGUGGUGGUGCACGCCUUUAAUCCCAGCACUGGGGAGGCAGAGGCAGGCGGAUUUCUGAGUUCGAGGCCAGCCUGGUCUACAAAGUGAGCUCCAGGACAGCAGAGAAACCCUGUCUCGAAAAACCAAAAAAAAAAAAAAAAAAAAAAAGUGGAGCACGAUCAAGAAAGAUGCUGGAUAUCAACAUGCUUGUGUUACACACACACAAGAACCUUAGUUCACACAAAACAAGCGUGUAUACAUAUACUCACCACACAUAUAAACACACAAAAGAAGUUAAAUAAAAAAACAAAAGGAACACACACACACCUAAAACGAAGACAAAAGAAGAAUUUUUGUCUUCUAGCCUCAAGACAAGAGUAUAUAAAGUCACUGUCAUGGAUGAAGCACUUUAGAAGACUUGCUAUUUGCUAAAUAAAGGCAGCAAGAUAAGCAGAGUAAAAGCCAGUCCUUUUACAGACUCUGAUGCAGGGGCUGCUGGAGAGCCACACUGAAGACCCCUUCAGAAAGCCUUGGUGUUUUGGGGAUGUGAAGUGUCCUUUCACAGUACACACUUGUGUCUGUCCAAGCCUCGUGAUGCCUUCGGAGACAUCGAGCCUUCCCGAAGUGUUCACAGGCACUUCCUGGAACCAUCUGUAACAAAGCAGCCAAAAUAACAGACAUAAGUGGCUAACAUAAUGCACAGCCAAGUGUUGCUGUCCUAGCCACGUUACUGACAGUCUUAGUCUAGGCAAGCAACUCUUUGGUGUGGCAGGGCAGUGGCCACACUCCUUUUGCAACAGAGGAGUUGUGGAGUACUUCCAAAAUAACAUCAUUCCCUUAGCAGUUGGCAGACUAACUCACAUCAUUCCUUCUCCUCUGUGUCUACAGGGCCACGGGAUAGAUACGGAGCCUUGUGAGGAGUCUUUGCAUUCAUCAAGGGGGGGGGGAUAGGAGGGUGGCAGCUGCUUAGAAAAUCUCCAUCUAUACAGAUGCAUAGGUCACCUGAAAAGAGUCCAAUGUGGUUGAUGGGAGAAAAACAGAAUGUGAAAGUAUACUGGGGACCACAAAAGCCAACAUUCUCUGUAUUUCUUUUAUCAGGAUUGAAGGACAUGGGAGCUCACAAUAGACAUUAGAGUUGUUGUUACGGGUUGGAUGGUGAUCAUGGUUAAUUUCAAGUUCUAAUCUCCAAUCCAUCAGAAUAGGACCUUAUUUUUACAUAGGAUUGUUGCUGAUGUAAUUAGGUAAUUUUUUUUAAAAAAAGGAUAGAUUUAUUUGCUUUGUGUAUAGUAGUAUUUGCCUGCAUGUAUGUAUAUGCACCAGAUGAAUGCCUGGAGUUUUUGAAGGCCAGAGGGAGGGCAUUGGAUAUCCUAGUAUUGGAAUCACAGAAUAUUGUGUGUCGCAUGUGGGUGUUGGGAACUGAAUGUGGGUCCUUUGCAAGAGCAGCCAGUACUCUUAAUGCCUCUCCUGUUUAACUUAGUCACCCUAACACUUAGCAUGACAUGUAGGGUCAGUGAUGAGCUAGCAUUUGUUGAAUGAGAAUCCAGAUGUUAAAUGUUUCCAGAAUUUCUAUCAGAUUUUUUGGUUUGAUUAAGUGUGAUAGUUAAUCUAGAUGUCCUCCCAAAAGGAACCUUGUAACAAAUGAAAUUCUGGUAAAGGAAGAACAGAAGAGGCAGGAAGAAAAAAGAGAAGAGUUACAUUCUUCAGCUCUGUUACUCUAGAGUUGUUAAAAGUAGGUAAGUGUAACUUCAUAUUCAUUUAGUCUGUUAUGGAUUGUUGAAACGAUGAGACAUGUACAAGCAUCUGAAUGUGCCAGGGGAUACUUGAAAUUAUAAAGCAUACAAAACCAUCCUCUAACCACUGCAUAAGUCCCUCAGAGCCGAGGUUUCAUUUAUUUAGCCAACGACUGCCUUACCAUUUCCUGUGGGAUCUCGGACAGAUUUCCUUCUUACAUCUGGGUCUAGUGACUGAUUUGGAAAUCGGGAAGUGAAGUGUUUGGACUGUGUGUUUUCCAAGUUCUACUUUGUGUCUCCAAUGUUCUGAGCCCAGACACAAACUGAGAUUUAAACCCACAGCAGAUCUGGGUUCGAGUCUUAGUGCCGCUUUUCAGUCAGUCAGUAACUCUGGUCUGUAUCCUCCAGGCUCCCAAAUGUAAAGGGGGGAGGGUGUUGGUAGAAAUGAGACUGAAAGUCAAAGUGUUUCCACCCUCCACAAUAGAAACAGACCCAAAGCCAAUCAUGACCAAUAUGCCAACUAUACCAUGGGGAAAUACAAGAGAAAAGCCAAGACACUGGAUCAGGCUCCCAGAAAUUCCCAUUCUGGUUGGGGUUAGCUAUCAGGUUAGUGCUCAUCUAAUCUCACUUAAAUAUAAACAUGUAAUAUUUCAUUACUGUGGCAUUUUUCCCUAAUGUUUUGCAACUCAGCUCACUUUAUGUCUUGGCCUAGCACUGGCUCUCUAGGCCACAAUAUCUGGACAAAGUUGAUCUUUUUUAAGCUUACUUUGUCUGCCCUGAAAUUUGAUUCUUCCCCUUCUCUCCUGGAUUUUCUCUUUGCUUCUCAAACAAGGGACCUCCUUUGGUUUUGACCAAGCCUGAAUUUCUCAUCUAAAUCACUUCUAACACUUCCUCUUUUCCAACAUAAAUAGUUCUUGCUCACUCAUUGUCCCACCCUGCCUCACCUCUGGCUCUAAUUAGAGUAAUAUUAAUUUCUCACUUUUAUAAGAAUCUCUGUAGCUUCUACUCUUCAGAAAUGAGGCAACCCAGACCAUGCUCAAAGCCCUUUAUUAUGGUCACAGAAAAUCUACUCUGACAAGAUCCAGCUUGACAAGAUUGUGUCCUGGAGAUCCUCCAUGUGUUUGAGCUGGCACCUCACCUUCUAGGUUAGCUCUCUGCCUGGCAUCUGCAGUGUUGUCUGUUGAUAUGCGUUGGAAGGAGAUGAAAGAGUGGGAUGUGAGUGAGUGCCCGUGGCCCUGGAACACAGGGUACUCUCUUCUCAUCUCAAUGCAGGAUGCUCUGCAUUUGCUGGAGAAGAAGAGAAAUGAAGACAACUGUUUCUCCAGAGAAUUGUUGAUUUCCAUAUUUUGUUGUUUUGUUUUUUACUUCUCUAUGACAGCCAAUUUCAACCCAAGGACAAUCAUGGAAACAGAUUUACUAAUAGUAGAGGACAGAUCAAACCUUCAGAAAAGUGAAUGUGAAUAGUCCCUAGAUCUUCCAGAAUCCAGACAGCACUGAAGGGUUUGGGGUCAUGAGAAUGUAGGGGUGGCCCUGUUCUUAGAUAGGAGUUGGUCAUAACCUAGUCGGUGUACGUCGGGACAGUCUUCAUACACUUCCCUUAGUCUAGACGGUCAUCACCUUGUGAUGACAUCUAUUUGCCAAAUGAUUCUAGUUGCCAUCUUGUCAAGAAAGUGUGUGACAAGUGUGACCACAAACAUUUCACAGCCACACUGAAACCCAAGUGCCUUUUUUUUUCUUUUCAAUACUUUUGAGAUUAAAAUAUAAGUCCAUCAUUUCCAUCCUCCCUUUUCUUCCUCCAACUCUUUGCACAAGCCCAUCUCUCUGUCUCUGUCUCUCUCUGUCUCAAGUUCAUAGCCCUUAUUUCUUUCAUUGUUAUUGCAUAGAUAUACGUGGAUGAAUUACUAAAUAUAUAAAUAUAGCCUUCUAAGUCUGUAUAAUGUAACUUGUAUGUAUGUUUUCAAGGAUGGCUGUUUAGUAUUGGAUAACUAAUUAGUCUGCUUGUCCCUGGGGAAGACUGUGUUUCCCACUCUCAGCCUUCCUUAGUUGUCUGCAGUUUUUUGUCUAAGGUUGGGGUCUCAUGAGAUUUCCCCCUUCCAUGUUAGUGUUUCUGUUGAUAUCAUUCUUGUUCGGGUCUUAUACUAGGAAGCCAUGUUGAUGAGACUUCUGGAAUUUCCAGGAGAUGGGAUCUCACAGCACACUUCCUGCUGUGCAGGUUCUUACAGUCCUUCUGCCUCCUCCCAGCUGUGAUCCCAAAUCCCUGAUCCCUGAGACGUGUUUUUGAUGUUCUGUUCUCACAAUGUGCAUCUACAACAAGAAAACUGAGACUGGGCCUAUAUUUUUAGUUGAGCAGUCUAAGGAAGGAAGAAGGAAGAAGUGUCUUAAUGUCUGGAAUCCAUCCAUCCAUUCAUUCAUUGGCUAUGUUAUCAAAGUAGCAUGCUGCUUACAGGUAACUCAGCCACUCAAACAAACAGUUUGAAAUGUGCAUGUCCUUUUAUGCACCCCCAGACGAUGGCUCUAUGCCUAUGUGUCUCCUAAAAAGUAGGGGAACUUCUUAGGGGAUUCUAGUGGAAGAAUGGCCUAGGCCAUUAGGAAGAUGCCCUCAAGAGAGAUUUGAAGACCCUAGCCCUUUCUUCUUGUUCUUUUUUGUUUCCCAAGGGCUAUAAGACAAACAGCUUUCUUUGCCACUGGUCUCUACCAUGAUACAUUGUUUUAUCACAGACUCAAAAGCAAUGGGAAGCUAACCAUAGGUUGAAAUUCCCAAAACCAUGAAACAAAAUAAACCUUCUCCCUUUUCAAGUUGAUUGUCUCAGGUAUUUUGUUAUAGCACUAGAAAGCUGAAAUACUGAUAAGCUUGAAAUACUGAUAAGCUCACUUUCUGUCAGAGUAUAUGUUCCAUCAGCUGUGGAUCAGGGUCAAAUUCUCAAAUGGACUGAGUCUUACAGCCUUCACAAAGCAUCUGAUCUCCAGUAGUUAAACAGUGUAGAUCAGUUAGAUACUGGUUCCUUUUCCUUCCUUCCUUCCUUCCUUCCUUCCUUCCUUCCUUCCUUCCUUCCUUCCGUCUUUCCAUCUUUCCUUCCUUCCUUCUUUUCUUCCUUUGUUUAUCUCAAUGGUGUCCCUUGGUGGACUCCUCCUGGGGGAUUAGGAAACAUCCCAGAGACCUGAAGUAGAGGCUCAUUAGGUCCAUUCCUAAGAAGGUGUGUUAGCCUCACUGUACUUCCCUAGAAAUCACCACAGCCUUUGUGGCAUAGAAAAAUAAGCAUAUCUCUUCAUAAUUCUGUAUGCCAGAAUUAUGGAAAUCAAGACGCCCCAAGAAUUCCUUCUUUCCUUUUUCCUUCCUACAGAAGAAGACUAUCCCCCACUGCCUCUGUCCUAGCUUCUGGCCACCACUGGCAAUCCUAUCGUACCUUGGCUCAAAGCACCAGGUCACCUGUCUCUGCAUCCAUUGCUCUGUUUUGGGAAGUUUCCCUAUGCUUAUUUGUCUCCUAAACUUUGUGCUUUGUGAACCUGCACCCAAAUUUCCUCAUUAUUCCAAGAACACAAAUCCUGUUGGACACAGGUCUCACCUAACCUAGUAUGCUCUUGUCUUGAGUAACUACAUCUGCAAAAACUCUGCUUCCAGAGUCAUGCUCAGAGGUUCCAUGUGGGCAUGACAUAAUUUGGGGGUAGGAGAGGGGCAUUGGGGAUUAUGUCAUGUUUGUUUAUAAAAGCAGCUCAUAAAACCUGCUCACUUUGAUGAUAUUUUCAUGCCAUAGAAAUCCAAAUGAAAACAAUCCAAUGAACCUGUGCAGACAUAAAGGUUGUUUAUUUUUAUUUGAUACAUCUGGGUUUUUGCUGCAUGUACACGUGCAUACCACGUGCAUGCAGACAUUGGAUUCCCCUAGAACUGCAAUUACAGAGAGUUUUGAACCACCAGAGUUCACAGAACUCUGUGAACACACGGAGUUUUGUGUGUGUGUGUGCUGGGAACCAAACUCUGGUCCCCUGUAAGUGCAGUAAGAGCCCUAUCUCUGAGGCAUCUCUCCAGCCCCUGUGGAUUUUGUUUUGUAGCCUGAUUGAGCCCAAUAAAUAACUAGUGCACACUAUUCUUUUUCUGUUCCUUUAUAAAAAUUUCAAUUUAUAGCAAUGAACAUUACAGGCUUUCUAAUGCUGUUUUGUUUUUAAAAGUGGACAAGCACAUUCAAGACAUGGUCUCAUUUGUGUACAGAGUAAACAUAGAGAUGUCCAUAGGAAUAAGGCAUAUUCAGUGAUAAGCUAAGGUUGAACUUGACUCUAUUGAAGGCCCUGUUCCCAGUGCUUCUGGUAUUUUGAUCCUUACUACAGUCCUGUAAUGGUCUUAUUUUCCCCAAUAUUGCUACUUCCAACAGAGUUGGCUGGUCUGCUACAUCUUUACUUAGUGUGGCAAUAGUGUCUUCACAAAUCAGGAAAAAAAGAGUUUCAUGUGAAUUUUUUUUUUUUCGAGAUAGGGUUUCUCUGUGUAGCCCUGGCUGUCCUGGAACUCACUUUGUAGACCAGGCUGGCCUCGAACUCAGAAAUCCGCCUUCCUCUGUCUCCCGAGUGCUGGAAUUAAAGGCAUGCACCACCAGGCCCGGCUGUCAUGUGAAUUUUUAAUAUAUUAGUAUACUUAUUACUAAUAAUAUUUAAUAUAACAAAGUAGAAACAAAAGCAUAUACAUUUUUAAAUAAACCGUGUGGUUUUUAUGUUAUUGUAUUUUGGGUUUUGACCAAAUCCAGGUAUUGACUGAAUAGAAACUAUUUUCUUUGAGAAGGUACUCAAAGGGGCUGGAGAGAUGGCUCAGCAGUUGAGAUCACCGUAUCCUCUGGUUGUUCUGCCAGAGGAUAUGGGUUUGAUGCCCAGUACCCAUACAGUGACUCAUAAUCAUCUGUAACUCCGCCCCAGAAGAUCCAACACCUUCUUCUAACCUCCAAGGUACCAGGUACAAAUGUGUUGUACAGACAUGCAUGCAGGCAACACACACACAAAUAAAAUGAUUUCCUGUUUGAAGAAGAAGAAGAGGAAGUGGAAGAGGAGUAGGAAGAAGAAGGCAGCCCUCUGGUCUUGAGGUCAUAUUUCUGUCCUUUGAUUCUUUCAGGUUUCCUCCAUUUUGUACUCAGGUUGUUGUAAGGGAAGGGUUAAGAGACACACAGCUCUUCCUGGGGAACAGAGAACAUCUCUUCCAAGAGCUGCAGCUCCCAGCUCCCUCCAUCUCCUCACUGGGGGCGAAUAGAAACCAGGAGAUUUAGGUGGCACAUCAUCCGAACAAGAACUGGAAAUGUUUGAAGAGAUAAAUGUGAUUUGCCAUUGAGCACAUAAGAGCAGCCAUGGACUUGUAGCUGCAGAUGUGCCCCUAACAUCUGUAUGGCCUUUAGAGCGUCAGAAAAACCUUUCCUAGUAGUUCUAGUUGGAGAUGGCCAUGGCCAUGUUUCACCUUCUCAAGUAUAGCUUUUAAUUUUCAUUAUUUCAGAUUAUGAUCCAUCUUCAAGAGUAUUUCUUAAGAGCUGAAGCAAGCCCUGGAGACAAGACUAAAUCUAUACAUUGUGAAGUCAAUCUGGGUUCUCGUGUAUGGGGGUGUGAGAGAUCGCUUCACGUGAGACAUUUUUUUUCCUUCUUGAUCUAUUGGCUAAGAAGCCCAAGGAACAAAAAGAGCAUACUCCCAUCACUUCACUGUUAUCAGGGUUAGUUUUAAGUUUCUGUCUUUGCAGCGUUUUCUUCUCAUAUAGCUGAUUUUCUCACCAUUCUGCUGCAGAAUAUGAGACAGGCACCGGGCAAAAGAGAUAAAGCUUUCCAUAAGAGCCUGCUGCUCUUUGGUGUGGAAAUUCAGGGUUUGCGCUUCUUUUGAGUUUUGUUUUCUCACGUCCGUGUUUCUUUCUUUUACUUUUAAUUUAGCAGCCAAGAAUGUAAGAGUUAAGGCUGAUAAACCUGUGCUAAGAUUUUCUCACCCACCCAAGUGCGGGAGAAAACAUGAGUCCAGAAUAAAUUGCUUUUCUCAAAA